rnacentral:sRNA from 1 species
CUUUAAAAAUCUGGAUCAAGCUGAAAAUUGAAACGACACACAGUUAAUGUGUGUUCGAGUCUCUCAAAUUUUCGCAACACGAUGUGUUUUACGAAACAUCUUCGG